UCCUCAUUGGUCCAGUGGUUAGGAUCUGCCGCUCUCACCGGCAUGGCCAGGGUUCGAUUCCCUGAUGGGGAA